GGACAGGUGGCUGAGAGGUUUAAAGCACUCAACUCGAAAUUGAGAAUGGGGCUAAAACCCCAUCGCGGGUUCGAAUCCCGCCCUGUCCGCCA
rnacentral:tRNA from 2 species